GUGGUGGGGUAAUCCACCUAUUCGGAAGCUGGGGAUGGAGGAUGUUUUAGGGGCGGGGAUUCCGGGAUUUUAUUUCCCACGUUGAGUACGCGUUCGUCAGGGGUAAAUUUUCAACUUGGAUGCCUUGGGGAAGGCCGAGGUAGCCAGGUUUUGAGUCUAAAAAGGGGAAAGUCACCGAGUUGAGAGUCGUGGGUUCAAGUCCUGGUGGUGGGAGUUCAACUUCGGCUCGUCCAAACAAGAAUAAACCUGUACCUAC
rnacentral:SRP_RNA from 1 species